rnacentral:lncRNA from 1 species
AGAGAAGCCUCCGCUGCGCCCCUCCUCGUGGCGCCUUCACGCCUCGGGUUUCCUGUUUCACAGAUGUUGAACCCCAUCGCUCAACAGCCUGAUCGAAACAUCUUGUCAUACACACUCUGCUUUGGCAUGGAGGGAAACAGGUCAGAAAAUUCUGCAGCAGGAACAAGUGAGGAAAUAAUCUGUACGUCUCUCAAGUUCUCUCAGACUCCUCCACUGCAGGCCAAAGCUAGAUGGGAAAGGUCAGAUGACUCCCACCCACACUGCCCUGAGCAGUGGAUAGCCUACACAGGGAGCUGCUACACCUUCUCCAAAGAGAGGAUGGAUUAGAGUUCCAGCCAAGAAUCCUGCUGGGCACAGGGUGCUCAUCUCCUGGUGAUCAGUGAUACCAGGGAAAUGGUAAUGGUUUACAGUCUUAUUAUUUGAGGACCUUCCAUUUCCUUGCAAAUAGCAAGGCAUCUGGGCAGUGCUGUCACUCUGGCAAUAUUGUGACAUUAAAACGGAGGAAGGAUUUAUGACUGUGACAUUAUAGUGCACUUCCAGUCUCAGUGUACAUCUAAGAAGUCCAGGAGGCAAAGAAGUAG